AUCAUUACUACAUCAAAAUUUCAGAAUGAGUUUCUUCAUCUAGGCGAUCAAACAAAGCCUUCUUCCAGAAUCAUCACCCUCUGGAUUUGUUUCUCGUAAGGGAUGAUUUCUUCCAUACAGAAGAAACCUUACCUUUUUCUCAAAAAAAAAAAAAAAAAAAAAAAAAAACUUACCCUUCAUCUUGAGCAUACAUUUCGGGGAAAAUCCCUUGACAUCAUAUUUCAUUCAACAAUGCAUUUCUAAUUUUCUAUGAGUUUUUUUUUUUUUUUCAUCUUUUUGAAAUUUAGGAGGUGUAUAAAAUAUAAAUUUUUAACAAUUUAUUUCCUAUUAAAAAAAAACAAUUUUUUAAUUUUUAAAAAGACAAAAAUACAAACACUUUAAAUAACUUUUUACGGUUCCGUCAAUAUCAUUUUUCUAAAAGAAGUUAUGGCCGAUUUAGUACAGAAAUGUCAUGUUGCACGUGAAUCUGACUUUUAACCGGAAUUUAUGUUUUGAGGCCCAAAUCACAUCGGAAAGCCCAUGAACGCGUUUGUGCUUCAUAUUUCAAAUAAUAUUGCACAUGGACAAGUUUGCGCUUCACAUUUCAUUCCUAAUUCUGCCCCUGCCUCCAAAGAAAGUUAAGCAUCUUCCCUGAUCUUUCUCUAUUCUAGGGAGAGAGACAAUGGGUUGAGCCCGAUUGCUUAACUGAUGCCGGUGUAGCAACAGAAGGAUGGGUAGGAGCACGAUUUGAUUCUACAUAAUUACCGCCAAAUCCGUCAACUCAAGGCACACCACGAGGAAGACAAAAAGACUUUCUGGGACAUCAUCCUCCACCGAAGCUGCCGACUCAAUCACCUUAGAGCGCAAGCAAGCCGCCACUAGUUGAGAUGUGAACUCUUCCACCGCAACCAUGGUGAAAGAGACAGACGGGGUUAUGCAAAUAUAAGGGGAGGAGGGGAAGAGGAAGGAGGCAGAGAUGACCAGAUGGGUAAAAAACAGGUGGUACCCUUGUCAGCUAAGGGUCGAGACCAUUAACAAAGAUGAAAAUUCCAAUCGUAUUUGACUUACAGGCAUAAUCAGCAUUUUUCAUGGCAUAAUCAGCAUCUCAGUUUUGAUUCACAUUCACGACUCAUGCUGGUGACAUGACUACCAUUAACAAAGAUGAAAAUUCCAAUAGUAUUUGACUAACAGGCAUAAUCAGCAUUCUUCAUGGUAUAGAUGGAAAUUAAAUUAAGCUAAUGCAAUUUCAUCGUACAAAAGACUUUGCAGAGUAAAUCGGCAACUAGAAACGAGGAAUGACUAUGGCUAUGUUUGGGGGGGGGGCUUUUUAGCUCCCCUGCUUAUAAGCAGAAGACCCAUAAGUGUUUGGUAAGCCAACUUCUCAUCAGCUUCCUCCAGAAGCUGCUGUGGCUUCUGCCCAAAAGCAGAAGCUGCCGAACCCCAGCUUUUAAAAGCCAGAAGCCCGAAAAUCUACUGUAGCGGUGUUACUGUAGAUUAAUGAAAAUUUCAAAAUACCGGUAGAUACCCUUCCAAGCUGAAACAAUUUCAGCUGAACCAUUAACCCUUCGCAUUUCCCAAAUUGGUAACUGUUCCCCAUCUCUCUCCCUCAUCACACCCGCGGAUCACAGCUCCCCCAGAUCUCUCCCUCAUCACACCCGCAGAUCACAUCCUCGCUGCUCCCUCACCGCCGCAUCCUCGAAGCUCCCCGUCACCUUCGCAUCGUCGCUGCUCCCCAUCGGUAACUGUUCCCCAUCUCUCUCCCUCAUCACACCCGCAGAUCACAGCUUCCCUGCUCCCCCAGAUCUCUCCCUCAUCACACCCGCACCGCCGCAUCCUCGCUGCUCCCUCACCGCCGCAUCCUCGAAGCUCCCCGUCACCUUCACAUCGUCGCUGCUCCCCAUCACAGACGUAUCUCUCUCCCUCACAUCGUCGCUGCUCCCCGUCACCGCUCUCCAUCUCCGUCCGUCAUCAUAGACCGCAGCCCCGACGUCGAUAUACCCAUCUCCACUCCUCCGACCUCAAAGUGUGUAUCGGACAUGGCGAAGGCUUCCAAGGGCAACCAUGAUGAGUUUGAAGACGAUGAUGAAGAAAAUCAAGCAGGUCUUUUUUUUUUUUUUUUUUGAGGUUUGAGGAAUUUUUAUGUAGAGAAGGAGGAGCAAGAUUAAUGAGAGGCAAGCUUAAGCUCAGUGAUUACUGUUUACAUUUUCUUUUUCAGUUCUGGUUUGUAUUUGAUUUUGGAUUUUGGAUUUAGAAUAUGUAGGUGAAGCAGAGUAUUGUGUUGGGUUUAAUAUCCAAGAUUGUAUAUGUGAAGGGUUUCUGUGUAGUCUCUGUCAUAUGUGUGUACUUUUUGUUUUUUGAAGAAAUGUCACCUUGCAAGCAUUUUCACAGUGUUA